CAGCGAAAUGCUGACUGCAGUGGGGUUUGAACCUGUGCUCCCCUGAUCCGAACACCAACGCACUAGUUCACUGCCCCACACGCCUGCACAUACAAACAUAAAG